GGUUCAAGUCCCUCUAUCCCCAA
rnacentral:tRNA from 16 species